AGCAGCCGCGGUAAUUCCAGCUCCAAUAGCGUAUAUUAAAGUUGUUGCAGUUGAAAAGCUCGUAGUUGAAUUUCGAGAUCAAUACGUCGGUCGUGCCUUCGGUACGUACUGGCGUUAUUGAUUUCUCCUUUCUGACGAACCAUGAUGUCAUUAAUUUGGUGUUAUGGGAAGUUAGGACUGUUACUUUGAAAAAAUUAGAGUGUUUAAAGCAGGCAUACGCUUGAAUACAUUAGCAUGGAAUAAUGAAAUAGGACGUUCGAUCCUAUUUUGUUGGUUUCUAGGAUCGACGUAAUGAUUAAUAGGGAUAGUUGGGGGCAUUAGUAUUCAAUUGUCAGAGGUGAAAUUCUUGGAUUUAUUGAAGACUAACUACUGCGAAAGCAUUUGCCAAGGAUGUUUUCAUUAAUCAAGAACGAAAGUUAGGGGAUCGAAGACGAUCAGAUACCGUCGUAGUCUUAACCAUAAACGAUGCCGACUAGGGAUCGGAUGAUGUUAAUUUUAUAAUGACUCAUUC
rnacentral:rRNA from 1 species